rnacentral:rRNA from 1 species
UACGUAGGGUGCGAGCGUUAAUCGGAAUUACUGGGCGUAAAGCGUGCGCAGGCGGUUUUGUAAGUCAGAUGUGAAAUCCCCGGGCUCAACCUGGGAACUGCAUUUGUGACUGUAGAGCUGGAGUACGGCAGAGGGGGAUGGAAUUCCGCGUGUAGCAGUGAAAUGCGUAGAUAUGCGGAGGAACACCGAUGGCGAAGGCAAUCCCCUGGGCCUGUACUGACGCUCAUGCACGAAAGCGUGGGGAGCAAACAGGA